AAACCAGGCAAGUGGAGACGAGAGCAGAAAGAAAGAGCAGCUUGCGCAAAGGCCCUGGGGGUGCAGUCUCUGCUCCUGCCCCGCUGACUUACUCCUAAGAAGAUGAACUGUGGUGUCUCCGUGACAUCAUUCACGCAGUGGCCACGGCUGUCCUUCCUGCCCGCUCUGCCUCUGCCCACUGGCCACAUCUCCUUCCAGCAUCUUCCAGACCCAGCAUUGCUCCAGGAAGCCACACCGAGAUCACUCCACCCCACAGGCCCUGUUGGGGUCUCUCCUGGGUUCCUCUAGUUUGCUCACUGUGCUGUAUUAAAACUUUGGGUUCCCCUCUCUCUCCCACCAAUGUUAAACUACUUCAGA
rnacentral:lncRNA from 1 species